rnacentral:sRNA from 1 species
CCGGCCCUUCAUUUAUGGAUACUGCUUGUGCUCCUUUUGAGAACUACUAUUGCUGUUCAAAAUCUUCAUACCUGAUACGAAGCUACAUGAUAAGUCCUCAAUCAAUUAUAAAUUCUACAAAUAUAGUCUGAUACGCCAAAUGAUGCUUUUUAUUUCGUCUCUAGUUCCGUCUAGUGAUAUCCCUCAUGAUGCCCUUUCCAACCUUCAUCAAACCCUUUCUAGCCUCCCAAGCGGGGUAGAUACCGACCAUACCCAGACCGACGAACAACCAGAUAAGAGAGAUGCAGACCCAGGCAGUAAACCCCUUGGCGGGGUAGACGUGUGAUGCGAAAAAUAAGGGAAGAGGGAUGACCUUUUUUCGUGAUGACAAUUAAUGAAAGAGCGGCAACGGCGGCAAACCUGAAAGCUUUUUGCAAUUCCUCAUUUUCCUUGGCCAUGUCGGUAGGCUGAGCCUCAACAGUGGUGUGGGUAGUGUUCCUCGUAGGCUCGACACCAUCUUGGAGUCCUUCCCCCGCAAAAUCAAGCUUUUCCUUUUCAUCCUCAUACGCAAGUGGCUUUGCUGAAGACUCGUUGUUUUCGUUGGCAGGGUGGAUAUAAGACCAAGCGACGGUGAUGAUACCACCGAUACCGAUAGAAAGGAGGUUACCGAAGUGAUACCCAACCAACCAGCAACACCGGCGCAGAAGCCCAAGACGGCUCCAACACAAGCACCGGUACCAUUGCACUUCCUCCAGGUGAUACAGAGGGCGAUAGGGACGACAGCGCUUCCGAUGAUACAGCCCAUCAAUUCGUAGAGGUAACCCAUGCUGACGCCAAUAUAGUUGAAGGCAGUAGCGAUCGCACCCAUGAACAAGGCGUAGCUGAAGAUACAGAUGUGGGAUACCCAGAGGAUUUGCUUUUCAGAAGGGUUGGGACGGAUGUAGGUACCAAAGAUAUCGUAAGUGAGGAUAGAGGAGACGGCGAUCUGCUCAGCGGAACAGGCAGAGGUGACGGCAAGGAAAAGGAGGAUAAGCAUAGCGGUGGCGCCCGACUGGCCCAUGAGAGCACUGGCAGCUAGAUAUUGUUAAUCAGCUAAAAGCUCUAAAGCUAUUGGAAAGCGGCAUACCCUUAACAGCGGGCAAACCGGCAGAGACUUCGUCGGCAGUCAAAGUGAUGAUGGGAGUAGAUGUGCCGUGAGCCAAAGCUACAGCCGAAAGUCCCAAAGAAGUGGCAAUACCCAAGGGAAUACCGAACCAAGCGACUAGGGGUACGUCAACAUGGCCGGCUUGAGUCUUGUAGGAGGAUAUACUCACUACCUCCCCACAAGAAGGCCUUGACCGAAGUCUUGGGAUCGGAAGCAAUAGCUCGUUGCCAGUAAGCCUGGUCAUUAAACACAGUACCAAAGUUACCUAUCAUCAUGACACCAAAAAUCAGACCACUUUUGGACCUCAUGGUCAAGUAAGAGCCCUGAGCGUUACCAGAGAUAGGGUUGGCCCCGGCGGCAUAGUUGAGCAAUUCCCACAUCUUGGAUGGAGAGCCGAUAAUGGGAGAGGUAGCAUAGGCGACGAGAGCGAAUGAAAUCAAGAUGCAAUAGAGAACGAGGGUAUGGGAGUAGUCGGCGAUCAAAGUGGCUCGCAUACCGCCGGUGAGGACGUAAAUGGAGACACCGAGAGGAAUGAGGAAACAAGCCGCAACAGUGUUCAUGCCGGUGAGUCAGUGGAAAUUCGACUCGUAAGGAGAUGAAAAAGACUUGCUGGAAACGAUGAUGUUAGUCGCAAGGGCAAAGAACAAAAAGACAAGAAGGGAGCGUGCUGCUUAAGCUUGCUGGAGAUCAUGGCAAAGAGAAGAACUUGGAUGGCAGCACCGGAAGCGUACCACCAAGGUCCACUGAUGCCGAAUUUGUAUCUGCUCAAAGGUAGCCGCCCAUGUCCAAGCACUGACGAUGCCAGCAGCGAUCAAACCCGGAGGAACACUUCGGCUGGCAGAGUUGAACUCUUCAGCCGAAGAAGUUUUGUGAGAUGUGUACCGCGUUUGAAGUUUUGCGAUUCUAUUAAAUUUAAACUGAAGAACAGACCCAUUCCAAUCUGGCGGUACUUUUUGUCAAUAAAAGUAGAAUAUUAUAGUAUGGAGCGCAAGUGAUACUCACAACGACACCAUAACCGGCCCCUUGAGGCAACACUGUUGACGACAUGGUUCUUCCCUUGGUUUAGUUAGCUGAGGCAAAUUUCUAGUGGAAUCGAGAGGUUAGAUGGAAAAAAAGGCUGAUACAUCGGCUUCCAUAUCGCACUAUAUACUACUCAGCAACAAUUUAUCUUCAUCCGCCCACCGAAACCGGGUAUUAGCAAAGACACCUAGAUAGCUGUGGUAGCCAACCAAUUUUCCUUCUCAUAUCUCUUUAGCGUGAUAGUUACUUCAUGCUUUUCCUCAGAGAUGGCAAGUCAAAAAUUCGGAGAUAAAGCCAGAA